rnacentral:rRNA from 1 species
GACGAACGCUGGCGGCGUGCUUAACACAUGCAAGUCGAACGGAAAGGCCCUGCUUUUGUGGGGUGCUCGAGUGGCGAACGGGUGAGUAACACGUGAGUAACCUGCCCUUGACUUUGGGAUAACUUCAGGAAACUGGGGCUAAUACCGGAUAGGAGCUCCUGCUGCAUGGUGGUGGUUGGAAAGUUUCGGCGGUUGGGGAUGGACUCGCGGCUUAUCAGCUUGUUGGUGGGGUAGUGGCUUACCAAGGCUGUGACGGGUAGCCGGCCUGAGAGGGUGACCGGCCACAUUGGGACUGAGAGACGGCCCAGACUCCUACGGGAGGCAGCAGUGGGGAAUAUUGCACAAUGGGCGGAAGCCUGAUGCAGCAACGCCGCGUGCGGGAUGACGGCCUUCGGGUUGUAAACCGCUUUCGCCUGUGACGAAGCGUGAGUGACGGUAAUGGGUAAAGAAGCACCGGCUAACUACGUG